rnacentral:rRNA from 1 species
GACUGGGAUAACUCCGGGAAACCGGGGCUAAUACCGGAUGGUUGUUUGAACCGCAGGGUUCAGACAUAAAAGGUGGCUUCGGCUACCACUUACAGAUGGACCCGCGGCGCACUAGCUAGUUGGUGAGGUAACGGCUCACCAAGGCAACGAUGCGUAGCCGACCUGAGAGGGUGAUCGGCCACACUGGGACUGAGACACGGCCCAGACUCCUACGGGAGGCAGCAGUAGGGAAUCUUCCGCAAUGGACGAAAGUCUGACGGAGCAACGCCGCGUGAGUGAUGAAGGUUUUCGGAUCGUAAAGCUCUGUUGUUAGGGAAGAACAAGUGCCGUUCAAAUAGGGCGGCACCUUGACGGUACCUAACCAGAAAGCCACGGCUAACUACGUGCCAGCAGCCGCGGUAAUACGUAGGUGGCAAGCGUUGUCCGGAAUUAUUGGGCGUAAAGGGCUCGCAGGCGGUUUCUUAAGUCUGAUGUGAAAGCCCCCGGCUCAACCGGGGAGGGUCAUUGGAAACUGGGGAACUUGAGUGCAGAAGAGGAGAGUGGAAUUCCACGUGUAGCGGUGAAAUGCGUAGAGAUGUGGAGGAACACCAGUGGCGAAGGCGACUCUCUGGUCUGUAACUGACGCUGAGGAGCGAAAGCGUGGGGAGCGAACAGGAUUAGAUACCCUGGUAGUCCACGCCGUAAACGAUGAGUGCUAAGUGUUAAGGGGGUUUCCGCCCCUUAGUGCUGCAGCUAACGCAUUAAGCACUCCGCCCUGGGGAGUACGGUCGCAAGACUGAAACUCAAAGGAAUUGACGGGGGCCCGCACAAGCGGUGGAGCAUGGUGGUUUAAUUCGAAGCAACGCGAAGAACCUUACCAGGUCUUGACAUCCUCUGACAAUCCUAGAAGAUAGGACGUCCCCUUCGGGGGCAAAGUGACAGGUGGUUGCAGGGUUGUCGUCAGCUCGUGUCGUGAAAAUGUUGGGGUUAAGUCCCGCAACGAACGCAACCCUUUGAUCUUAAUUUGCCAGCAUUUCAGUUUGGGCACUCCUAAGGGUGACUGCCCGGUGA